rnacentral:rRNA from 1 species
CGCGUAGGUGGCCACUAUAAGGCCGCGGUGAAAGUUCGGGGCUCAACCCUGAAUCUGCCGCGGCGACUGUAGGGCUAGGGCACCGUAGAGGCAGAUGGAAUUCCGGGUGUAGCGGUGGAAUGCGUAGAGAUCCGGAAGAACACCGGUGGCGAAGGCGGUCUGCUGGGCGGUGAACCCGCAAGGGUUCAAUAGCCGACACUGAGGCGCGACAGCGUGGGGAGCAAACA